AACUCACGCAUACACUGAACUACCAACCCGCAACGAAGAGAAACGUCAAACUAAAGAAUAUUCGAAGUGAUGUGUUGUGUGUUGUGUACAUUGGAAACUAUACAGGUGAAACGGACUACCAAACCAACAAAAACAAAUCCACUCAGAUGGAGGCAGGGAUGUGUCCGUUCGGCACUGGACGGUUGCGGACGGACGGAUUCGGACUCUUGAAGCGGACGAUGGAUUUUAGAAUCGAAGGAUGUCGCAUGCAGCUGGACUGGACGAGAAUAUGGACCACGGUACGGGGCCGGAACAAUUUGGCGGGACUGGCGCUGGAUGGACUGCUGCCAUGCUGACCCGGAAUUGCCUCAAACGGCCUAUUUGAAGACAGCUAUAACGGAUGCCGAGAAGGGAAGUUGACUUCCAGUUAAAGGUAAGUGUGUGAACAAAUGUUUUCUUUUUCUUUUUAGGAACAAUCGGAUGGCAAUCCCAAGAUGCGAAAUCCACCCCCAAGGAAGACUUCAAUAAGAACCUACAUUUAACAUAAACUCCCACAUUAAACAU